GACAGAGGUGCCAAGCGUUAGGCGGAAUCACUGGGCUUAAAGCGUGUGUAGGUGGAUUUGUAAGUACCUUGUGAAAUCCCAUGGCUCAACCAUGGAACUGCUCGGUAUACUGCGAAUCUUGAGCCACUUAGGGGCUACCGGAACAAAUGGUGGAGCGGUGAAAUGCGUAGAUAUCAUUUGGAACGCCAAUGGUGAAAACAGGUAGCUGGGGCUGUGCUGACGCUGAGGCGCGAAAGCUAGGGGAGCGAACGGG
rnacentral:rRNA from 1 species